rnacentral:lncRNA from 1 species
GAAUUUGAGACCAGCCUGGUUAACAUGGAAAAACCCUAUCCAUACUAAAAAUACAAAAAUUAGCUGGGUGUGGUGGUGCACGCCUGUAAUCCCAGCUACUUGGGAGGCUGAGGCAGAAGAAUUGCUUGGGCCUGGGAGGUGGAGGUUGCAGUGAGCUGAGAUCACACCACUGCACUCCAGCCUGGGUGACAGAGCGAGACUCUGUAAAAAAUAAAUAAAUAAUAAAUAAAAAGAAUUCAUGAAGCAUUGCCUUUUACAGAAGACCCCAG